UUCUCCUUAGCUCAGUUGGUUAGAGCGUCUGACUGUUAAUCAGAAGGUCCACAGUUCAAACCUGUGAGGGGAAG
rnacentral:tRNA from 1 species